UACGAAGGGAGCUAGCGUUGUUCGGAAUUACUGGGCGUAAAGGGCGCGUAGGCGGCCGAAUAAGUCAGAUGUGAAAGCCCCGGGCUUAACCUGGGAAUUGCAUUUGAUACUGUUCGGCUAGAGAUCGAGAGAGGAAAGUGGAAUUACGAGUGUAGAAGUGAAAUUCGUAGAUAUUCGUAGGAACACCUGUGGCGAAGGCGACUUUCUGGCUCGAUACUGACGCUAAAGCGCGAAAGCGUGGGGAGCAAACAGG
rnacentral:rRNA from 1 species